UACGUAGGUGGCAAGCGUUGUCCGGAUUUAUUGGGCGUAAAGCGCGCGCAGGCGGUCCUUUAAGUCUGAUGUGAAAGCCCACGGCUCAACCGUGGAGGGUCAUUGGAAACUGGGGGACUUGAGUGCAGAAGAGGAAAGCGGAAUUCCACGUGUAGCGGUGAAAUGCGUAGAGAUGUGGAGGAACACCAGUGGCGAAGGCGGCUCGCUGGGACGGUACUGACGCUGAGGCGCGAAAGCGUGGGGAGCAAACAGG
rnacentral:rRNA from 1 species